GCCGGAAUGGCGAAAUCGGUAGACGCCCGGGACUUAAAAUCCCGUGAGGCUAACACCUCGUACCGGUUCGAUCCCGGUUUCCGGCACCA
rnacentral:tRNA from 1 species